rnacentral:rRNA from 1 species
UGGGACUGAGACACGGCCCAGACUCCUACGGGAGGCAGCAGUGGGGAAUAUUGCACAAUGGGCGCAAGCCUGAUGCAGCGACGCCGCGUGAGGGAUGACGGCCUUCGGGUUGUAAACCUCUUUCGCCAGGGACGAAGCGCAAGUGACGGUACCUGGAUAAGAAGCACCGGCUAACUACGUGCCAGCAGCCGCGGUAAUACGUAGGGUGCGAGCGUUGUCCGGAAUUAUUGGGCGUAAAGAGCUCGUAGGCGGUUUGUCGCGUCGGCCGUGAAAUCUCCACGCUUAACGUGGAGCGUGCGGUCGAUACGGGCAGACUUGAGUUCGGCAGGGGAGACUGGAAUUCCUGGUGUAGCGGUGAAAUGCGCAGAUAUCAGGAGGAACACCGGUGGCGAAGGCGGGUCUCUGGGCCGAUACUGACGCUGAGGAGCGAAAGCGUGGGGAGCGAACAGGAUUAGAUACCCUGGUAGUCCACGCUGUAAACGUUGGGCGCUAGGUGUGGGCGACAUUCCACGUUGUCCGUGCCGUAGCUAACGCAUUAAGCGCCCCGCCUGGGGAGUACGGCCGCAAGGCUAAAACUCAAAGGAAUUGACGG